UUGACCUCAAAUCAGGUAGGACUACCCGCUGAACUUAAGCAUAUCAAUAAGCGGAGGAAAAGAAACUAACAAGGAUUCCCCUAGUAACUGCGAGUGAAGCGGGAAAAGCUCAAAUUUUGAAUCUGGCAGUCUUAAUUGAUUGUCCGAAUUGUAAUCUAGAGAAGCGUCUUCCGCGCUGGACCGUGUAC
rnacentral:rRNA from 2 species